rnacentral:rRNA from 1 species
GUCUACGGCCAGACCACCCUGAUCGUGCCCGAUCUCAUUUGAUCUCGGAAGCUAAGCAGGGUCGGGCCAGGUUAGUACUUGGAUGGGAGAAUAACUUCUCUGUGCCCAAAAUCCUGUGCUUUACCUG